UACGUAGGGUGCAAGCGUUAAUCGGAAUUACUGGGCGUAAAGGGCGCGUAGGCGGCCUUCUAAGUCGAACGUGAAAUCCCCGGGCUCAACCCGGGAACUGCGUCCGAUACUGGAAGGCUUGAAUCCGGGAGAGGGAUGUGGAAUUCCAGGUGUAGCGGUGAAAUGCGUAGAUAUCUGGAGGAAUACCGGUGGCGAAGGCGGCAUCCUGGACCGGCAUUGACGCUGAGACGCGAAAGCGUGGGGAGCGAACAGG
rnacentral:rRNA from 1 species